GGAUGCGAUCAUAUCAAUACUAAAGCACCAGAUCCCAUCAAAACUCCGAAGUUAAGCGUGCUUGGGCGAGAGUAGUACUAGGAUGGGUGACCUCCUGAGAAGUCCUCGUGUUGCAUUCC
rnacentral:rRNA from 1 species